AUUGAACGCUGGCGGCAGGCCUAACACAUGCAAGUCGAGCGAGCGGCGGACGGGUGUGUAAUGUCUGGGAAACUGCCUGAUGUAGGGGGAUAACUACUGGAAACGGUAGCUAAUCACGCAUACCAUCAGAUGUGCCCAGAUGGGAUUAGCUAGUAGGUGGGGUAACGGCUCACCUAGGCGACGCUCCCUAGCUGGUCUGAGAGGAUGACCAGCCACACUGGAACUGAGACACGGUCCAGACUCCUACGGGAGGCAGCAGUGGGGAAGAUUGCACAAUGGGCGCAAGCCUGAUGCAGCCAUGCCGCGUGUGUGAAGAAGGCCUUCGGGUUGUAAAGCACUUUCAGCGGGGAGGCGUUACCCGCAGAAGAAGCACCGGCUAACUCCGUGCCAGCAGCCGCGGUAAUAC
rnacentral:rRNA from 1 species